AAAAAGCUACUGCAAACACUGAUUUAUUGCCAAAGGAUACACAGAAAUCUGAAAAUGUAAACGCUAUCUGUACUCAUUUGAAUACUGUGAAUUGUAUAAACAGUAGUUAUCUUUUACAGCUUCAGAGAUCAGGUAACUGAAACAUUUAACAUAACCACAGGUAUAAAUAGUCCUAUAAAAAUACAAAUUAAUUCUUGUCCAUCCAGUGUUCUGCAGUAAGUUUGAUGGCAAAGUAUCUUAUUAGAACAGAGAUGAAGAUCAAAAAUGUAUGUAUUUUCUUAGUUAUAUAACUUGUAUAUGAAAAAUUAUGAUAGGAGAGUAUUUAAGCCCAAUGUAUCUAAGGGUACAUUUUCAUUUUAAAUACUAGACUGCAAUUCCAAUGUUUUUUGCAUGUUUAAAGCAUAUUUUAUUAAUCAGCAUGAUUUGAUUUAAGAAACAUGCCUGACGUGAUGUUAAACCCUAUAUUGCAUAUUUUGACAUCACUCAAAAUGUG